rnacentral:tRNA from 1 species
CCUUCGAUAGCUCAGUUGGUAGAGCGGAGGACUGUAGAUGUUGAGUCACGUGGGCAUCCUUAGGUCGCUGGUUCGAAUCCGGCUCGGAGGA